rnacentral:rRNA from 1 species
AGUGAACGCUGGCGGUAGGCCUAACACAUGCAAGUCGAACGGCAGCACAGUAAGAGCUUGCUCUUACGGGUGGCGAGUGGCGGACGGGUGAGGAAUACAUCGGAAUCUACUUUUUCGUGGGGGAUAACGUAGGGAAACUUACGCUAAUACCGCAUACGACCUACGGGUGAAAGCAGGGGAUCUUCGGACCUUGCGCGAUUGAAUGAGCCGAUGUCGGAUUAGCUAGUUGGCGGGGUAAAGGCCCACCAAGGCGACGAUCCGUAGCUGGUCUGAGAGGAUGAUCAGCCACACUGGAACUGAGACACGGUCCAGACUCCUACGGGAGGCAGCAGUGGGGAGUAUUGGACAAUGGGCGCAAGCCUGAUCCAGCCAUACCGCGUGGGUGAAGAAGGCCUUCGGGUUGUAAAGCCCUUUUGUUGGGAAAGAAAAGCAGCAGGUUAAUACCCCGCUGUUCUGACGGUACCCAAAGAAUAAGCACCGGCUAACUUCGCG